rnacentral:rRNA from 1 species
CCUACGGGAGGCUGCAGUGGGGAAUUUUGGACAAUGGGCGCAAGCCUGAUCCAGCAAUGCCGCGUGCAGGAAGAAGGCCUUCGGGUUGUAAACUGCUUUUGUACGGAACGAAACGGUCUGGGUUAAUACCCUGGGCUAAUGACGGUACCGUAAGAAUAAGCACCGGCUAACUACGUGCCAGCAGCCGCGGUAAUACGUAGGGUGCAAGCGUUAAUCGGAAUUACUGGGCGUAAAGCGUGCGCAGGCGGUGAUGUAAGACAGUCGUGAAAUCCCCGGGCUCAACCUGGGAAUUGCGAUUGUGACUGCAUCGCUGGAGUGCGGCAGAGGGGGAUGGAAUUCCGCGUGUAGCAGUGAAAUGCGUAGAUAUGCGGAGGAACACCGAUGGCGAAGGCAAUCCCCUGGGCCUGCACUGACGCUCAUGCACGAAAGCGUGGGGAGCA